UGUGAGCUCGAUGAGUAGGGCGGGACACGUGGUAUCCUGUCUGAAUAUGGGGGGACCAUCCUCCAAGGCUAAAUACUCCUGACUGACCGAUAGUGAACCAGUACCGUGAGGGAAAGGCGAAAAGAACCCCGGCGAGGGGAGUGAAAAAGAACCUGAAACCGUGUACGUACAAGCAGUGGGAGCCUCUUAAUGGGGUGACUGCGUACCUUUUGUAUAAUGGGUCAGCGACUUAUAUUCUGUAGCAAGGUUAACCGAAUAGGGGAGCCGAAGGGAAACCGAGUCUUAACUGGGCGUUAAGUUGCAGGGUAUAGACCCGAAACCCGGUGAUCUAGCCAUGGGCAGGUUGAAGGUUGGGUAACACUAACUGGAGGACCGAACCGACUAAUGUUGAAAAAUUAGCGGAUGACUUGUGGCUGGGGGUGAAAGGCCAAUCAAACCGGGAGAUAGCUGGUUCUCCCCGAAAGCUAUUUAGGUAGCGCCUCGUGAAUUCAUCUCCGGGGGUAGAGCACUGUUUCGGCAAGGGGGUCAUCCCGACUUACCAACCCGAUGCAAACUGCGAAUACCGGAGAAUGUUAUCACGGGAGACACACGGCGGGUGCUAACGUCCGUCGUGAAGAGGGAAACAACCCAGACCGCCAGCUAAGGUCCCAAAGUCAUGGUUAAGUGGGAAACGAUGUGGGAAGGCCCAGACAGCCAGGAUGUUGGCUUAGAAGCAGCCAUCAUUUAAAGAAAGCGUAAUAGCUCACUGGUCGAGUCGGCCUGCGCGGAAGAUGUAACGGGGCUAAACCAUGCACCGAAGCUGCGGCAGCGACGCUUAUGCGUUGUUGGGUAGGGGAGCGUUCUGUAAGCCUGUGAAGGUGUGCUGUGAGGCAUGCUGGAGGUAUCAGAAGUGCGAAUGCUGACAUAAGUAACGAUAAAGCGGGUGAAAAGCCCGCUCGCCGGAAGACCAAGGGUUCCUGUCCAACGUUAAUCGGGGCAGGGUGAGUCGACCCCUAAGGCGAGGCCGAAAGGCGUAGUCGAUGGGAAACAGGUUAAUAUUCCUGUACUUGGUGUUACUGCGAAGGGGGGACGGAGAAGGCUAUGUUGGCCGGGCGACGGUUGUCCCGGUUUAAGCGUGUAGGCUGGUUUUCCAGGCAAAUCCGGAAAACCAAGGCUGAGGCGUGAUGACGAGGCACUACGGUGCUGAAGCGACAAAUGCCCUGCUUCCAGGAAAAGCCUCUAAGCAUCAGGUAACAUCAAAUCGUACCCCAAACCGACACAGGUGGUCAGGUAGAGAAUACCAAGGCGCUUGAGAGAACUCGGGUGAAGGAACUAGGCAAAAUGGUGCCGUAACUUCGGGAGAAGGCACGCUGAUAUGUAGGUGAAGCGACUUGCUCGUGGAGCUGAAAUCAGUCGAAGAUACCAGCUGGCUGCAACUGUUUAUUAAAAACACAGCACUGUGCAAACACGAAAGUGGACGUAUACGGUGUGACGCCUGCCCGGUGCCGGAAGGUUAAUUGAUGGGGUUAGCGGCAACGCGAAGCUCUUGAUCGAAGCCCCGGUAAACGGCGGCCGUAACUAUAACGGUCCUAAGGUAGCGAAAUUCCUUGUCGGGUAAGUUCCGACCUGCACGAAUGGCGUAAUGAUGGCCAGGCUGUCUCCACCCGAGACUCAGUGAAAUUGAACUCGCUGUGAAGAUGCAGUGUACCCGCGGCAAGACGGAAAGACCCCGUGAACCUUUACUAUAGCUUGACACUGAACAUUGAGCCUUGAUGUGUAGGAUAGGUGGGAGGCUUUGAAGUGUGGACGCCAGUCUGCAUGGAGCCGACCUUGAAAUACCACCCUUUAAUGUUUGAUGUUCUAACGUUGGCCCCUAAUCGGGGUUGCGGACAGUGUCUGGUGGGUAGUUUGACUGGGGCGGUCUCCUCCUAAAGAGUAACGGAGGAGCACGAAGGUUGGCUAAUCCUGGUCGGACAUCAGGAGGUUAGUGCAAUGGCAUAAGCCAGCUUGACUGCGAGCGUGACGGCGCGAGCAGGUGCGAAAGCAGGUCAUAGUGAUCCGGUGGUUCUGAAUGGAAGGGCCAUCGCUCAACGGAUAAAAGGUACUCCGGGGAUAACAGGCUGAUACCGCCCAAGAGUUCAUAUCGACGGCGGUGUUUGGCACCUCGAUGUCGGCUCAUCACAUCCUGGGGCUGAAGUAGGUCCCAAGGGUAUGGCUGUUCGCCAUUUAAAGUGGUACGCGAGCUGGGUUUAGAACGUCGUGAGACAGUUCGGUCCCUAUCUGCCGUG
rnacentral:rRNA from 1 species